AUUGAACGCUAGCGGGAUGCCUUACACAUGCAAGUCGAACGGCAGCGCGGACUUCGGUCUGGCGGCGAGUGGCGAACGGGUGAGUAAUGUAUCGGAACGUGCCCAGUAGCGGGGGAUAACUACUCGAAAGAGUAGCUAAUACCGCAUACGCCCUACGGGGGAAAGGGGGGGAUCGCAAGACCUCUCACUAUUGGAGCGGCCGAUAUCGGAUUAGCUAGUUGGUGAGGUAAAGGCUCACCAAGGCGACGAUCCGUAGCUGGUUUGAGAGGACGACCAGCCACACUGGGACUGAGACACGGCCCAGACUCCUACGGGAGGCAGCAGUGGGGAAUUUUGGACAAUGGGGGCAACCCUGAUCCAGCCAUUCCGCGUGUGCGAUGAAGGCCUUCGGGUUGUAAAGCACUUUUGGCAGGAAAGAAAUCGCACGGAUUAAUACUCUGUGUGGAUGACGGUACCUGCAGAAUAAGCACCGGCUAACUACGUGCCAGCAGCCGCAGUAACAC
rnacentral:rRNA from 1 species